GUGAAUCAUCGAAUCUUUGAACGCAUAUUGCGCUCUUUGGUAUUCCGAAGAGCAUGCUUGUUUGAGUAUCAGUAAACACCUCAAAGCCUUUUUUCUUUUUUGAAGAAAGGCUUUGGACUUGAGCAAUCCCAACACCAAUCUUUUAAAGAGAGGGGGCGGGUUGCUUGAAAUGCAGGUGCAGCUGGACAUUCUCCUGAGCUAAAAGCAUAUUCAUUUAGUCCCGUCAAACGGAUUAUUACUUUUGCUGCAGCUAACAUAAAGGGAGUUUGACCGUAUUGGCUGACUGAUGCAGGAUUUCAC
rnacentral:misc_RNA from 1 species